GUGAAUGCAUGAAUGAACUUAUUGAGUCGUAACCAGCACCGUUAGAAAAUUGACGUCGUAACCAAAAAGGAGUCAAUUGAACAGUUUUUUCAAAAAGUGGGAUCAAUUGUUACUAAAAAAAAAGGUAGGACCAUAUUGAACAAAACCUCCCAAACUAGGGACCAAAAGCGAUAUUAAACCUAAUUAUUAUUAACUCAUGGAAUCCACU
rnacentral:lncRNA from 1 species